rnacentral:rRNA from 1 species
CCUACGGGGUGCAGCAGUGAGGAAUAUUGGUCAAUGGGCUUACGCCUGAACCAGCCAAGUCGCGUGAGGGAAGACUGCCCUAUGGGUUGUAAACCUCUUUUGUCAGGGAGCAACGCCGGCUACGUGUAGCCGGACUGAGAGUACCUGAGGAAAAAGCCUCGGCUAACUCGUUGCCAGAAGCCGCGGUAAUACGGAGGAUGCGAGCGUUAUCCGGAUUUACUGGGCGUAAAGCGCUCGUGGGCGGUAUGGCAAGUCAAGGGUGAAAUCCCCGGGCUCAACGUGGGAACUGCCGUUGAAACUGGCAAACUGGAGUGUGUGAGAGGAUAGUGGAAUUCCAGGUGUAGGAGUGAAAUCCGUAGAUAUCUGGAGGAACAUCAGUGGCGAAGGCGACUAGCUGGAACAUAACUGACGCUGAGGAGCGAAAGCGUGGGUAGCAAACAGGAUUAGAUACCCUUGUAGUC